GAUGAACGCUGGCGGCGUGCCUAAUACAUGCCAGUCGUGCGAACAGACGAGGAGCUUGCUCCUCUGACGUUAGCGGCGGACGGGUGAGUAACACGUGGAUAACCUACCUAUAAGACUGGGAUAACUUCGGGAAACCGGAGCUAAUACCGGAUAAUAUAUUGAACCGCAUGGUUCAAUAGUGAAAGACGGUUUUGCUGUCACUUAUAGAUGGAUCCGCGCCGCAUUAGCUAGUUGGUAAGGUAACGGCUUACCAAGGCAACGAUGCGUAGCCGACCUGAGAGGGUGAUCGGCCACACUGGAACUGAGACACGGUCCAGACUCCUACGGGAGGCAGCAGUAGGGAAUCUUCCGCAAUGGGCGAAAGCUUGACGGAGCAACGCCGCGUGAGUGAUGAAGGUCUUCGGAUCGUAAAACUCUGUUAUUAGGGAAGAACAAAUGUGUAAGUAACUAUGCACGUCUUGACGGUACCUAAUCAGAAAGCCACGGCUAACUACGUG
rnacentral:rRNA from 1 species